UUCAAGAAUGUUUUCAUUAUUCUGUCAUGCUGCUUCCUACUCUUCUUCAGUUCACUUUAGGCCAGAAAAGUUUAAUUUUCUCUGUUGACUCAGAAAGGGAGCUAGCCUGUCAGUGAAUGUGCACGAUGAAUCUCGAGGGAAGGGAAUUCAAUUAUGUUGAGAAAAGGCCUAACAUGGUACAAGUCAAGUCCCGCUGCCUGCACCCAAGCUGAAUGAUGAGUGCGUGCUCUCUGACUUGAGUAUGUGGAUUCCCUUCUGGUGGAGGUGAAAGUACAAGAAGAAAUGUUUUACAUGGGAUACAGCAAUGGGUCAAAGCUGCGAUUUAAGCAGUAUGAUCCAAUGAGACAAUGGGAAUUUUCUGUUGCUUUAGUAAAUACAUGGGUUUGUUUACUCAAUACCACAUAAACUGCAUCCAAGCAAAACUUAAUUAGGUGCUCUGCCAGGAAAAUACUCUGAGAAGAGAGGAAUGGAUAACAGCUGGUUCUGUCAGCUGUUGCAGUUUUCAGACAUACAAAGGUAAGAGAAGUGUGACUGAUUUAUUUCCACCAAAAGAGUAAACAGGUGAACAAGCAUGACUUCUUCACUUAGGUUAUCUUAUCUAACAUGACAAGAAGGAAGACAAUCUUAUUUGAUGGUAAGUCAUGUUGAAGCUCCUGUGCUGGGUCUAAAUCCUUUGCAAUUUCAUUAUAUCAACAGAUUUGUGACCACAGAAUUUUUCCUAUGUCAAGGACAUUAAAUAAAAAAAAAAAAAAACCAAACCAAAAUCUUAACACAAAUAUAUUUACUAAAUAGGUUUCUAUUGAUAUUUUUAAUUAUUAUUACUGUUUCUGUUGUUGUUCUUCAUGCAGUCGUAAAAUACAUUUUAUUUUGGGGUGCCCAAGUCUUGAUUUUUCUAUUUUACAUAUUUUUACUACACUUAGAUCUUGAUGACUUUGUUUGAAAGAGCUGUUUAUGUAGCAAACCUCCUCUUCCUCUCCUCCCAUAACAUUCACGAUGGCAGCUGCUACUUUGACUUGCUUUUUCCAUAGGCACACAUUGUUGCUGCCAUCCCCUGGAUGGAAAGCUGUCAUUUGGUUCCCGGUAUGUGGUAGCUGGUGAGGUUUGUGAUGUUGUGCAGCUUGGAGUAAGUUGGAGUAUCACCAGCUGAGCACCAGCUGUGCUUUGUUACAAAGGCAAUUUGUCACCUGUAAAAUACUGCAACUUACUGUCCCGUUGCAAUUUACCAUUAUCUUGCACAGAAAUGCUCUUUAUUUGUCACCUAAAGGAAGACUUUGUAUGCUGAGCAUGCUUCAGCCAGUUCUUCUAACACUGGAUGGAAGAAUAGAAAGGAAAUUCUAAACUGUUUUCUCCUUUAUAUAUUCUUUUAAAUUACUCCAGAAUUAGCAUUAAUUUCAAGAGACCAGUAAGUACUGUUCAUCAAUGAGGAAGCAAGUGGUUAAAACUGAACCAGCUUUGGUGCAGUAGUGCAAAUACAGUAUUGACAUACCAGGCUGUUAUAGAUCAGCCUCUGAGGCUGGCAUAGCUGCAAAUCAAACUUCUCAUAUUGACAGACUGGUUAUCACUGAGAUUACCCUGAGGAUGACAUCUGAGAACAUCCAAUGCAAACAUGCUACGGUGGUCAAAAAUGGAUUUACUUUUUAGUUUGGCCUAUUCAGUCAAUCCUACCGUAUUUCAAUCCUGGUCUGGCUGUCACAAGCAGCCUCUCAUCUGAAGUUUAAUCCUUUGGUAAUGAAUUGUUUUCUCCCAUGUGGUUGUGCAGCUGACUCACCCUACAGUGAGGUUUUAUGUGGUUCUGCAAUGUGACAAAUAUGUUAAUGUAUGCAGAACAAUGCUUCCAGUCCUGGCAGAUACUUGCUGUAUCCAUAAUGUCAAUAAUGACAAACUUCUUGCAUGCUAUAAAGUACUCUGAUAAGGCUAUAUGAUACAGCUCACUGAACUUAAAGUUGAUUCUGCCUAAUGAUCAAAACCCAAAGAACAGCUCUUUCUGCCUUUCUGUAGCAGUAAUUUAAUAAGGUAAAAUACCAUUAAAUUCAAUGAGGUGUGAUUAACAAAUACACAGAAGCGAGAAGUCCAUAAAAAUGUGAGCUUGCACUUCAUUGUUGUCUCAUGGGUAUUUAGGUGCUUUGGAGAAAAUGAUUAGGGAGGUGGAAACUGAACUUUUUUCAGCUUUCCUGCAAAAAAAAGAAUCUUUAGCUGACAUCCCAUUUAAGGGCCAAGUACUACAUUCACAUAUAGUGGCAGCAUAACAGUUGCUGAGAUUUUUUAUUUAUGGCCAUAUGCAUUUUUAAUGCCAAGCAUAAUUUAUGUCCUUGAAUUUUGCAUAUUUAAGAGAAAAUGAUGUUUACAAAGAUUAUGAAAUAAAAAUCAAAUUGUGUUUCUAUGUUGGUAGAAUAGCUCUUGAGGAGACAGAAUGUUCCCAGAAGAUGCUAAAACAAACAUGCAAACAGAACUCUAAAUUAGGACCAAGGCAAGAGUUCAAGUGCUUUAUUUUCUUUCUGAGACAGGCAUCUUAACUGUUUGCUUCAAAGAUACAGAUCAAAUAAAUCCAGAAAGUUACAUUGCCUUGUUGAAUCACUGUCUUAAAGGUUAUUUUAACUAUGUUGGAAUACAAGCUUGAGGUCCAUUCAGGGUAAUUCACUGUGCAGACACAAGACAAGGCUAACCCUUAUAUAUCAGUAGAAAUAAAAAAGUCUAAAAAUGGAAGAAAGAAAUGUCUGUACUAAUGGGCACCAAAUGUCAUAACUUCAGCUUUAUCAAUGGUGUUAAUGGCAAUUUUUAUUAUCAAUGGGUGCAAGUAUGGUUUUAGAUGAUGGUGGCUGAGAGCUUUGCAGGAGCAGUUCUUGAAAACCCAGUACCUCUACACUGCACAUGUGUAUGUGUGUAUGCAUACAAGUAUUUCGUAGACAAGAGACUGUAGAUUAAAUUCAGCACAGAAUCAGUUUGCAUGGUCUGGUUUAGAGGUUAGAGGCAAUUUAACCCUGUGAGUUUAAAUGUGUGUCUGAACUGAGUGGCACCUGACAAGCCUCACAAACAUGCACAGCAAAAAACAUAAAAACAUAAAAAAAUUGGGAAAUUACUGCAUCAGCCUGUGAGGUCUAAUGCCAUUUAUAAAAGAGGGUCAUAAGACAGCUUCUAGCAUGUUCACACUUGCUGCAUAUGACCAAAAGCAUAUGUACAAUGACAAAUCUGGGUCAGAGUCAGGCUGUCUGGCAGAACACUGAGCACAGCUGGGCUGACCACAGAGAAGCCAUUUUCCAAAACCUGGGCUUCGUGCACAGCUUGUUGAGGGUCAUGUGCUCCUGCCUUUCUCAAUGGGUUCUCAUGGGAGUCAGCCCCAAACUGACCUAAUUAAAUGUCUGUGGUAGGAGGCUGCUGCCUCCGAGAUGUGUCUGGAAUGAGCUACUGGGAGAAAUGAUUAAUCCUGUCUGUGAGCAGAAUGUUGUUUGACAUUCACUGGUUUGUCAAAGCUUUCCUGCAGUAAUGUGAGUUUGAAGCACAGCAGAGGCCAUAACAGGAAACUUCUGGGGAACACUGCUGUCUGAAUGGAAGGUGGCUACAAUCAGUGUUGGUGCUCUUCCAGCAAAACUACUCCUGCUCCCAGAUCAUGGCAUGGUCUCUUAGAACAAAUCUCUCUACCCUGUUGGCUAUGAUUUCAGUUGAGCUGUGGUAGCCACAAGCAGAAAGGUGGACAUUCAAAUGGAGGGGUAAUAAUUGUUCAACCCUAAAACCUCAUCUGUCAACGCUCUCAAACAGAACUUUUGCAUGAAAAAUAUUUUGUUGUAGUCUGAGACAAAUUAAAAGCAAACUAA